ACCUACUAAAAUUAAACAAAUUAGAGUUCAUAUUUCAUAUACAGUCCAGCAUAUUUAGACAUUACUACACAUUACAACACCAAAGACAAAUAUAUAUCCUAAAUACUACUAAAUUGGUAACAUUUGUGCUAUGAAAUUAACAUAAACAUUUAAGUAUCUUCAUUAUCACGCAUAUACACAGUUGUUGCCUUCCCAGAUUUUUGAGUGAGAAUAGUACCUGGAAUUACAACAAAAGAGAUCCUAUGAGUAAGGUAAAUGUGAAGUAAUCAAGCAACAGCAGCCAAAUUAACCAGUUAACCCAGGAAUGUAUCAGGAACUCAGGAAAUUUUGAGAAGCAACACAAUUUCGAUCCUUAAUGCAUAUGCGUCAAAUCAUCUUCAACUUCUAAUGAAUGGAUUUUUUUAUUAUUAUAGAAGAUUUUGCCAGGAAAACUUAAAAUUGAUUUUCAGCUGAAUGUUCUCGACCUUUUCUUCAAAAUGUAUAUCUCAAAAUGUAUCUAAAGUGUAUCUAAAAGUGUAUCCCUUGUAUAUCUAAAAAUUUAUCCCCCUUUUAAAAAAUCAGACGUCUCUUUUAUAACCAAAACCUUAGGGCAACAAAAUCUUUUUAUUUUCCUUUUAGUCUCUUACCCAUUUUCAGAUUUCCUAAUUGAUCCUUGAUUUUCUAACUUGUGCCUCAAGUUUUGAGGAAGAAUUAACAGAAAUUGUAUUUUGACCCUUCACUAAAAUGUUCCAGGGUUUUGUUACAAGAUUCUUAUGCUCAAAUACCCCCAAUACCCCUGUCUUCUUUUCUUAAUUACUUGCCUAUGUGUUUUAAACCCUGGUGCCUAUCUAUUUGGUCUGAAACUGACCCUAGUUAACUACUUCAGGUCAUCAACCAGGGUUAUAUUAUCAGCUGGGAUCAGAUUUUGAAACAUCUGGCCAUGGCCAACUAUUUAAUUGGAAACUAUGCUAUACUAUGUACAAGCAAACAACCACGGGUCAAAAAUUGAUAAAAAUCAACGCAACACAUAUACAGGAAAAUAGCAACAUGUGAAACUAAAUUACUCAGAAGCACGUACAAGGCUAAACAGCACAAAAUUCAGAAACACAGGACACUGUUCAAUUUUAAACCAAAAAUGAAUAAUUCUGAGCAUGAUAAUUCAAAUGAGUCGAAAGAACAAUUAUGACUUCACAUGAUGAGAGGACCAUUCAGAAGCAAGUUAUCAAGACUUAAAACAAAAACAUGUGGUGGGAAUCAGGUCACUAAAUUAGAAAAAUUUAACAGAUUAGAAAAUGAACAUUCAUGCAUUUACACAAACAAAAACAAAAGAAGCUCAAAAACAACCGGAAGGAAGAACAAAGUGAAUUUAAAAACAAUCAGAAGAACAACUAGAAUGAAGAACAAAGGAAAUGAAAAUAAUUAUAAGGACGGACAGAGGGAAUUAGAAGUAGUCAGAAGAGAACUUAAAAACAAUUAUGAGGAAGACAAAGGAAAUUAUAACAAUUAUAAUGACGUAUAAAGGAAAUUAAAAACACUAAGAAGAGACCUAAAAGCAAUUAUCAAGAAUAACAGAGGAAAUUAAAACAAUUAUAAGGAGGAACAAAGGAAAUUAAAAACACUCAAAAAAGACCUAAAAGCAAUUAUAAAGAAGAACAAAGGAAAUUAAAACAAUUAUAAUGAUGAACAAGGAA
rnacentral:lncRNA from 1 species